rnacentral:rRNA from 1 species
CCCUUAGAUGUUCUGGGCCGCACGCGCGCUACACUGACGAUGUCAGAGAGUGUCUCCUUCACCGAGAGGUGUGGGUAAUCUUUUAAACAUCGUCGUGCUGGGGAUAGAUCAUUGCAAUUUUUGAUCUUGAACGAGGAAUUCCUAGUAAGCGCGAGUCACCAGCUCGCGUUGAUUACGUCCCUGCCCUUUGUACACACCGCCCGUCGCUACUACCGAUUGGAUGGCUUAAUGAGAGCUCUGGAUCUCUGCCGGCGCGGUCCUCACGGGUCGCGUUGGAUGGGGAGAAGUUGCUCAAAUUGAGUCUUCUAGAGGAAGUAAAAGUCGUAACA